rnacentral:rRNA from 1 species
UCGGGAAUUUUGGGCAAUGGGCGAAAGCCUGACCCAGCAACGCCGCGUGAAGGAUGAAGUAUUUCGGUAUGUAAACUUCGUAAGAAUAGGAAGAAUAAAUGACGGUACUAUUUGUAAGGUCCGGCUAACUACGUGCCAGCAGCCGCGGUAAUACGUAGGGACCAAGCGUUGUUCGGAUUUACUGGGCGUAAAGGGCGCGUAGGCGGUGUGUCAAGUCAGUUGUGAAAUCUCCGAGCUUAACUCGGAACGGUCAACUGAUACUGUCACACUAGAGUACAGAAGGGGCAAUCGGAAUUCUUGGUGUAGCGGUGAAAUGCGUAGAUAUCAAGAGGAACACCUGAGGCGAAGGCGGGUUGCUGGGCUGAUACUGACGCUGAGGCGCGAAAGCGUGGGGAGCAAACAGGAUUAGAUACCCCUGUAGUCCCUGAGCGGGCUGGCAAGGCGCAU